rnacentral:rRNA from 1 species
GAUGAACGCUGGCGGCGUGCCUAAUACAUGCAAGUCGAACGAGUUCUCGUUGAUGAUCGGUGCUUGCACCGAGAUUGAACAUGGAACGAGUGGCGGACGGGUGAGUAACACGUGGGUAACCUGCCCUUAAGUGGGGGAUAACAUUUGGAAACAGAUGCUAAUACCGCAUAGAUCCAAGAACCGCAUGGUUCUUGGCUGAAAGAUGGCGUAAGCUAUCGCUUUUGGAUGGACCCGCGGCGUAUUAGCUAGUUGGUGAGGUAAUGGCUCACCAAGGCGAUGAUACGUAGCCGAACUGAGAGGUUGAUCGGCCACAUUGGGACUGAGACACGGCCCAAACUCCUACGGGAGGCAGCAGUAGGGAAUCUUCCACAAUGGACGCAAGUCUGAUGGAGCAACGCCGCGUGAGUGAAGAAGGCUUUCGGGUCGUAAAACUCUGUUGUUGGAGAAGAAUGGUCGGCAGAGUAACUGUUGUCGGCGUGACGGUAUCCAACCAGAAAGCCACGGCUAACUACGUGCCAGCAGCCGCGGUAAUACGUAGGUGGCAAGCGUUAUCCGGAUUUAUUGGGCGUAAAGCGAGCGCAGGCGGUUUUUUAAGUCUGAUGUGAAAGCCCUCGGCUUAACCGAGGAAGCGCAUCGGAAACUGGGAAACUUGAGUGCAGAAGAGGACAGUGGAACUCCAUGUGUAGCGGUGAAAUGCGUAGAUAUAUGGAAGAACACCAGUGGCGAAGGCGGCUGUCUGGUCUGUAACUGACGCUGAGGCUCGAAAGCAUGGGUAGCGAACAGGAUUAGAUACCCUGGUAGUCCAUGCCGUAAACGAUGAAUGCUAGGUGUUGGAGGGUUUCCGCCCUUCAGUGCCGCAGCUAACGCAUUAAGCAUUCCGCCUGGGGAGUACGACCGCAAGGUUGAAACUCAAAGGAAUUGACGGGGGCCCGCACAAGCGGUGGAGCAUGUGGUUUAAUUCGAAGCAACGCGAAGAACCUUACCAGGUCUUGACAUCUUUUGAUCACCUGAGAGAUCAGGUUUCCCCUUCGGGGGCAAAAUGACAGGUGGUGCAUGGUUGUCGUCAGCUCGUGUCGUGAGAUGUUGGGUUAAGUCCCGCAACGAGCGCAACCCUUAUGACUAGUUGCCAGCAUUUAGUUGGGCACUCUAGUAAGACUGCCGGUGACAAACCGGAGGAAGGUGGGGAUGACGUCAAAUCAUCAUGCCCCUUAUGACCUGGGCUACACACGUGCUACAAUGGAUGGUACAACGAGUUGCGAGACCGCGAGGUCAAGCUAAUCUCUUAAAGCCAUUCUCAGUUCGGACUGUAGGCUGCAACUCGCCUACACGAAGUCGGAAUCGCUAGUAAUCGCGGAUCAGCACGCCGCGGUGAAUACGUUCCCGGGCCUUGUACACACCGCCCGUCACACCAUGAGAGUUUGUAACACCCGAAGCCGGUGGCGUAACCCUUUUAGGGAGCGAGCCGUCUAAGGUGGGACAAAUGAUUAGGGUG